AGAGAGAGACAUGCGCGCAUAUCAAUAAGCGGAGGAAAAGAAACUAACUAGGAUUCCCUCAGUAACGGCGAGUGAAGCGGGAAGAGCUCAAAUUUGAAAUCUUCAAGGUUCUACCUUGACGAAUUGUAGUUUAAAGAAGUGUUUUCUGUUGAAGUUUUGGUAAAAGUUCUUUGGAAUAGGACAUCAUAGAGGGUGAGAAUCCCGUAUUUGACCAUUAUUUUCCAGCUGUGUGAUACACUUUCAAAGAGUCGGAUUGUUUGGGAAUGCAGUCCAAAAUGGGUGGUAAAUUUCAUCUAAAGCUAAAUAUUGGCGAGAGACCGAUAGCGAACAAGUACCGUGAGGGAAAGAUGAAAAGAACUUUGAAAAGAGAGUUAAACAGUACGUGAAAUUGUCAAAAGGGAAGCGUUUGACACCAGUGUUGUUUUCUCGAAAAUCAAUUAAAAAAGGCAGGAUUUUGUGUUGUAUUGACUUUAUCAGCUUUCUGCACUCUUUUCUUGUCUUUUUUAAUGCACUUCUCGUUUAACAAGUCAACAUCAAUUUCUUUUGUUGUAAAAGGGUCAUUGGAAGGUGGCUUUCUUUUCGGAGAAAGUGUUUAUAGCCUUUGGCCUCUGCAAUCGGAGAGACUGAGGUCUGCAGCGUAGAUCCUUCGGGGUUAGAUACAUUUGUGCUAAGUUAUAGCCUUUCAUAGACAACUUGUUGACUAUGAUCAGUCAUGUAGCUUACUCGCUUAUGCUAUUUUACCUACGCUUAGGAUGUUGAUGUGAUACUGCGAGCA
rnacentral:rRNA from 1 species